GAUGAACGCUGGCGGCGUGCCUAAUACAUGCAAGUCGAGCGAACGGACGAGAAGCUUGCUUUUCUGAUGUUAGCGGCGGACGGGUGAGUAACACGUGGAUAACCUACCUAUAAGACUGGGAUAACUUCGGGAAACCGGAGCUAAUACCGGAUAAUAUUUUGAACCGCAUGGUUCAAAAGUGAAAGACGGUCUUGCUGUCACUUAUAGAUGGAUCCGCGCUGCAUUAGCUAGUUGGUAAGGUAACGGCUUACCAAGGCAACGAUGCAUAGCUGACCUGAGAGGGUGAUCGGCCACACUGGAACUGAGACACGGUCCAGACUCCUACGGGAGGCAGCAGUAGGGAAUCUUCCGCAAAGGGCGAAAGCCUGACGGAGCAACGCCGCGUGAGUGAUGAAGGUCUUCGGAUCGUAAAACUCUGUUAUUAGGGAAGAACAUAUGUGUAAGUAACUGUGCACAUCUUGACGGUACCUAAUCAGAAAGCCGCGGCUAACUACGUG
rnacentral:rRNA from 1 species